rnacentral:tRNA from 1 species
GGAGUGUGGCUCAGUGAUAGAGCACAGGCUUAGAAUGUGUGAGGUCCUGGGUUCAUCCCUAGCACCA